rnacentral:lncRNA from 1 species
AUGAGCCCCAGAGCUCCUGCUGUCCCAAAGCUACAAGUGCUGCUGGCUCUUUUCUUCCAUGACCAACUCUUGGCUCCACUGCCUGAUGCUUUAAAUGUACUAGGGAAGGCAGAUAUGGUGCUAACAUUGCAACUGCUCUUUGUGUACAGGAUCACUGCCUGGCCAAGACAUACCUAUCCUUUUCCAGGGACAACAAUCCACUGCAAACCAUCUUCAGUAUUUCAUGAUGCUGGCUUCCAGAGAACACAAGUAUUUCCCCAGAUAAUUAUCCUUUGGAAACUUCUGCACUAACUCCUUUUUAAAACAAAACAGGCAGAGUGGCAAGACUAUCAAGAGAAAGAAAGAAAGAUCAGAAAUGUUACAAGCUCAACAGCAAGGAACUAACAAAAUCAUGCAGGACGAGAAUUGAGGCUCUUUAUUUAUUUAUUUUUUCUCCUGAAUAAACUACUCACCAGAGCCA